AUUGAACGCUGGCGGCAGGCCUAACACAUGCAAGUCGAGCGGAUGAAGGGAGCUUGCUCCUGGAUUCAGCGGCGGACGGGUGAGUAAUGCCUAGGAAUCUGCCUGGUAGUGGGGGAUAACGUCCGGAAACGGGCGCUAAUACCGCAUACGUCCUGAGGGAGAAAGUGGGGGAUCUUCGGACCUCACGCUAUCAGAUGAGCCUAGGUCGGAUUAGCUAGUUGGUGGGGUAAAGGCCUAUCAAGGCGACGAUCCGUAACUGGUCUGAGAGGAUGAUCAGUCACACUGGAACUGAGACACGGUCCAGACUCCUACGGGAGGCAGCAGUGGGGAAUAUUGGACAAUGGGCGAAAGCCUGAUCCAGCCAUGCCGCGUGUGUGAAGAAGGUCUUCGGAUUGUAAAGCACUUUAAGUUGGGAGGAAGGGCAGUAAGUAAAUACCUUGCUGUUUUGACGUUACCAACAGAAUAAGCACCGGCUAACUUCGUG
rnacentral:rRNA from 1 species